rnacentral:rRNA from 1 species
UACGGGAAGGCAGCAGUGGGGAAUAUUGCACAAUGGGCGCAAGCCUGAUGCAGCCAUGCCGCGUGUAUGAAGAAGGCCUUCGGGUUGUAAAGUACUUUCAGUCGUGAGGAAGGUGUUAAGGUUAAUAACCUUAGCAAUUGACGUUAGCGACAGAAGAAGCACCGGCUAACUCCGUGCCAGCAGCCGCGGUAAUACGGAGGGUGCGAGCGUUAAUCGGAAUUACUGGGCGUAAAGGGCACGCAGGCGGUUAAUUAAGUUGGAUGUGAAAUCCCCGGGCUUAACCUGGGAAUGGCAUUCAAGACUGGUUAGCUAGAGUCUUGUAGAGGGGGUAGAAUUCCAUGUGUAGCGGUGAAAUGCGUAGAGAUGUGGAGGAAUACCGGUGGCGAAGGCGGCCCCUGGGACAAGACUGACGCUCAUGUGCGAAAGCGUGGGGAGCAAACAGGAUUAGAUACC